rnacentral:rRNA from 1 species
GACGUAGGGCGCGAGCGUUGUCCGGAAUUAUUGGGCGUAAAGAGCUCGUAGGCGGUCUGUCGCGUCGGUCGUGAAAACUUGGGGCUUAACCCUGAGCUUGCGGUCGAUACGGGCAUGACUGGAGUUCGGCAGGGGAGACUGGAAUUCCUGGUGCAGCGGUGAAAUGCGCAGAUAUCAGGAGGAACACCGGUGGCGAAGGCGGGUCUCUGGGCCGAUACUGACGCUGAGGAGCGAAAGCGUGGGGAGCGAACAGG